GAUGAACGCUGGCGGCGUGCCUAAUACAUGCAAGUCGAGCGAAGCGGGGACGGGUGAGUAACACGUGGAUAACCUCCUAUAAGACUGGGAUAACUUCGGGAAACCGGAGCUAAACCGGAUACUUAUCGAUCGAUCCGCGCUGUAUUAGCUAGUUGGUAAGGUAACGGCUUACCAAGGCAACGAUGCAUAGCCGACCUGAGAGGUGGGUCGGCCACACUGGGACUGGGACACGGUCCAGACUCCUACGGGAGGGAGCAGUAGGGAAUCGUCCGCAAUGGGCGAAAGCCUGACGGAGCAACGCCGCGGUAGUGAUGAAGGUCUUCGGAUCGUAAAACUCUGUUAUUAGGGAAGCGGUACCUAAUCAGAAAGCCACGGCUAACUACGUGCCAGCAGCCGCGGUAAUUC
rnacentral:rRNA from 1 species